rnacentral:rRNA from 1 species
GACUUAACACAUGACAAGUACGAACGAGACGUAUUUAGAAGUCUUGUCUUUUAGUUGAGUACGAGUGGACAACGGGUGAGUAACGCGUAGACAACCUGCCGCAAAAGAUGGGGACAACAGUCCGAAAGGACUGCUAAUACCGAAUGUUGUAUCUUCUCCGCAUGGAAGAGAUAUUAAAGAUGGCCUCUACUUGUAAGCUAUCGCUUUGCGAUGGGUCUGCGUCUGAUUAGCUAGUUGGUGGGGCAACGGCCUACCAAGGCGACGAUCAGUAGCCGGUCUGAGAGGAUGAACGGCCACAUUGGAACUGAGACACGGUCCAGACUCCUACGGGAGGCAGCAGUGGGGAAUCUUCCGCAAUGGGCGAAAGCCUGACGGAGCAACGCCGCGUGAGUGAAGAAGGUCUUCGGAUCGUAAAGCUCUGUUGUCGGGGACGAAUGUUGAGACCUAGAACAUAGGUUUCAAAUGACGGUACCUGACGAGGAAGCCACGGCUAACUACGUG